CGCUGGCGGCGUGCUUAACACAUGCGAGUCGAACGAUGAGGCCUAGCUUGCUAGGUGGAUUAGUGGCGAACGGGUGAGUAAUACGUGAGUAACCUACCUUUAACUCUGGGAUAAGCCUGGGAAACUGGGUCUAAUACCGGAUACGACCAAUCUCCGCAUGGGGUGUUGGUGGAAAGCGUUAUGUAGUGGUUAUAGAUGGGCUCACGGCCUAUCAGCUUGUUGGUGAGGUAACGGCUCACCAAGGCGACGACGGGUAGCCGGCCUGAGAGGGUGACCGGCCACACUGGGACUGAGACACGGCCCAGACUCCUACGGGAGGCAGCAGUGGGGAGUAUUGCACAAUGGGCGCAAGCCUGAUGCAGCGACGCCGCGUGAGGGAUGACGGCCUUCGGGUUGUAAACCUCUGUUAGCAGGGAAGAAGAGAGAUUGACGGUACCUGCAGAGAAAGCGCCGGCUAACUACGUGCCAGCAGCCGCGGUAAUACGUAGGGCGCUAGCGUUGUCCGGAAUUAUUGGGCGUAAAGAGCUUGUAGGCGGUUUGUCGCGUCUGCUGUGAAGGCCGGAGCUUAACUCCGUGUAUUGCAGUGGGUACGGGCAGACUAGAGUGCAGUAGGGGAGACUGGAAUUCCUGGUGUAGCGGUGGAAUGCGCAGAUAUCAGGAGGAACACCGAUGGCGAAGGCAGGUCUCUGGGCUGUAACUGACGCUGAGAAGCGAAAGCAUGGGGAGCGAACAGGAUUAGAUACCCUGGUAGUCCAUGCCGUAAACGUUGGGCACUAGGUGUGGGGAACAUUCCACGUUUUCCGCGCCGUAGCUAACGCAUUAAGUGCCCCGCCUGGGGAGUACGGCCGCAAGGCUAAAACUCAAAGAAAUUGACGGGGGCCCGCACAAGCGGCGGAGCAUGCGGAUUAAUUCGAUGCAACGCGAAGAACCUUACCAAGGCUUGACAUAUACUGGAUCGCAUCAGAGAUGGUGUUUCCCUUCGGGGCUGGUAUACAGGUGGUGCAUGGUUGUCGUCAGCUCGUGUCGUGAGAUGUUGGGUUAAGUCCCGCAACGAGCGCAACCCUCGUUCUAUGUUGCCAGCACGUUAUGGUGGGGACUCAUAGGAGACUGCCGGGGUCAACUCGGAGGAAGGUGGGGAUGACGUCAAAUCAUCAUGCCCCUUAUGUCUUGGGCUUCACGCAUGCUACAAUGGCCGGUACAGAGGGUUGCGAUACUGUGAGGUGGAGCUAAUCCCUAAAAGCCGGUCUCAGUUCGGAUUGGGGUCUGCAACUCGACCCCAUGAAGUCGGAGUCGCUAGUAAUCGCAGAUCAGCAACGCUGCGGUGAAUACGUUCCCGGGCCU
rnacentral:rRNA from 1 species